rnacentral:lncRNA from 1 species
GAACAUCCACGGCCUGAUUCCUUCGAGAUAUUCCUAAAGGAAUAUCCACAGGAUUUAAAUGAUUUUGGGUCUAAAUUUUGUGGGGGAGGAUCGGACCUAGUUAGUCAAAUUUCAUAAAAUCCUUUGGAUCCAGGGGCCAACGCAGGCAUGUUUAGGUAUCUACUUUAUGUGCCGGUAUACCUCGGAAAUAAUUUAUUAAUGCCAUGGGUUCAAAUAUGGUUAACAAGUUUUCGUAAGAAACGUGAAGGGAAUAAAAUGGGUGACAUAAAAUAUUUUUUCUCCUAAAAUGGGUGGUAGUUAAAUAUGGUUCAAAUAUGGUCUAAUAUUAUUUUUUUUAUUACACCCAGGUCGUGACAUGUAAUAUUUUUUUUCUAAAUACAUCUUUGGAUGCAUAUUUGUCUAGCCUCGAACAAAUUAUAACUAAAGUUUGAGUUUGCAGGCUUGGGUAGAGCUUUCUAAGGGAAUGGUUUUUAUAUUUAAUUAAUAUCACACUUAUAUUAUAGCUCGUUUUAGAACUUCUUUUAUGCUUCCCAUAUCUUGCAAGUUGGGGUGUCAUUGGGAGAACCGGAAGUGAGAGCGGCGUCCGUUUCACUAUUGCUUCUUCUGCUAUAGAUUAAUGACUGUACUUCUCGCCCAGCCCAACCCCAUUCAGGCUGACAAAAUAUUCUAGGAGUAAGGGUGCAAUUGGAUCGAAUUAGACCGCGAAAUGAGUGAUCCCAACCUAACCUGAUUUUAUAUUUAAAUAAUAAUUUUGAACCCAAACCUGAUUCAUUGACUGAUUGGGUCAGAUCAGGGUAGGGUGCACCGAAAGGAUUUUAGAUCUAUUGGAUUAUUUGAGUUAGGUCAAGAACAAGUGCGACCCUUAUCUAAUCCGAAAUGUUUGAAUUUGGGUUGGGGUUGAGUCGGUUUUGUAGGUCAAAGCAUCUAGCUACUAUUUUAUAUUUAGAAUAUAAUAAUUGUUUUUGACCCCAUUUUGGUUCAUAAUCCAAUGUUUUAUUCUAUCAUAACCAGAUAAUUGAAUGAUGUUCUAUAGUUAUCUUGAUUAGUUUUUAAAAAACAAAAAUAGAAUGUUCAUUAGUUAUUCAUUUUUAUUUGUUUUGCGAAUACCGCUUGUUCAUCUUUAUUAUGUGGAGGGAGACCUGUAAUAUUUUUAUUUAAGAUUCUUUUUGGCCAUAAAUAUAUCCACCCACGCUUGCAAGUUUACAAUUUAAGGCCCCGAGCUGGAAAGGGCAGUAGCACUGCUGCUAAUUAAUUCGAGAAAUAUAUCUUUUCUUGAAAGUUUUCCUGCCUAAAAUGAAAGAAAAUGUUUGAUGUAGAUUAAAGUAGACAAAACUGCAUAGAGAAAGUCACUGUAAAUGAAAAUUGUAUACUUUUGAGAUCAAACAACGAAAAAUUUAGCUUUUCGUGAAAGAAAUUUACAAGUUAUACGGUUGCUGAAAGAAGAAUGUAACAGAUAGGACUUACAAGCUAGCUUAUGGAUAGAAGCUAAAAGAAGUUUGCAUUAUAAUAGAGUUGCAGAUAGAAAUCCACUUAGGAUAGUUUUGGUUACAAAAAACUAGUCAUAUUUAAGUUGGGUGGGUUGUUGGAUUGAUUAAAAGCUAAUCCAAUCCCAACAAAAAAAGUGGGAAGGUACAUUAUAUUAAGUUGGAUUAUAUUGAGAUAAUCAGGUUAGCUUCUUUUGUAUAGGGAUUUUAAGAUUGAAAAAAAGUGUCAAACAUUCUAUUUAGUCAAUAUCAUGUUGAAUUGGGAUUGAGAACUCUAAAACUUAAUAACAGUGAAGGUAUGCUUAAACUUAUAAGUAUUUAAAAUAGAACAUAAAUUGAUAAAUAUUGAGGUUAUCUAUUGAACAGGCUGGGCUGGUCCUCUUAGGUUGAGACGAGAGCAAGUUGCACCCCUUUGUAUAAUAAUUCUUUCAAGAUUUUAGCAGGAAAUUUUUUCUUUUCCGAACUAGCCUCAUUGACUAUUCUCAUUAAAACAUGAAUAAAUCUUUUAAUGGCCUGUCACAUGAAAGCAAAUAUACUUUGUAUCGCAUGCCUGUGAUGUUCCAGCUUGAUACUAUAUAUCAUGGUAAACACAGUGCCAUGGUAAUACUUUAGCAAGUACAGCCUAUCCAAUACUAAUGUUGUGCAACAAAAAGGCAUAACUUGGUACACAUCAUGCAUUGUGUUCUCAACUGCCCUGUUUGGCUAAGGAUAAGUGGGAGAUAUCCUCCUAGUUUUCAAACACAAAAGUAAGGGUCGAAAUCAAGUCUUAAACUAUGUCGGAUUAAAUUAUACCACAAAAUAAGAGAAAUUUAUCUCCUUCAAUUACCUUUUGCCCUUAUCCACUCGAUAUAUACAUAAAAAAGUGGGAAGGUAGUUUCAUCCUUUGUGACAAAAUUUAAAGCAUCUCAAAAUCCAUUGUGCUCGCUUAUCUACUUCUCCUGUUCCUCCAACCAUCAACCAAAUACCAAAUAGCUUCUAUUCCAUGGAGUAGGCGUAUCCCUCUAAGAAUACAUGAGAUAUUCUUUCCAAAAUUUAUUCCGCAACCAAAUGCAGCCAACAAGAUUUUCAGUACCAAUAUUCUAUUAGUACGAUGUCAUUUUCCGUACCAACACUUCAAUAUGAGGGAUGCCCUAAAUAUCAGUUCAUAGGAGUCCAUGCAGUCCAGUACUAAAAAACAGGAAUCUCAUCCACCCUGAAUUCUGAUUCAGACACAGAAAAGCAGCCAGCAUCCUACACAUGCCACCUAAUAUUAUACCAGUACAAAUUAAUACAAGAACAACAAUUCAUUUUUCCACAGCUCAAUGUUGUAUAAAGAUGCCAUAUUUAAAAUUCCCAGCUAUAAUAAGUUCACCUAUAAUGAGUAAAAACUCUGUAAGCUAUAAUGAGUGAAAACUGUGAGCUAGAAAAAGAGAAACAACAUCCUGUUACUGGGUUUGAGGAUUGUAAAAUGCCAUUCUGGGUGGCAGCAGUGGCCGAUAACUAGGUGCCAUUGGUUUUCGAAUGCUGGACUGUGCUGGCUGCUGAUUUAUUGACACAGGUUGGUUAGUUGGCUGUUGAUUUAUUGGCAGCGGCUGGUACAUAGGCGGCGGCGGCAGCUGUUGGAACAAGGCUACAGGCUGCUGCUGCUGAUGUGUCAAAGACACAGGCAUUGUCAGGUUCAUCAUCUGAGGCGGAGGCGACGGUGGUGGAGGUAGGGCAUUGUAAGAGUCCAGCAGUCCAGUCAUCACUCCUUCAGAUGGUUGUAGGUACUGCAUUGUGGAACUUUGAUAGAGAUUGAAUUGGGGCUGGAAUGACAUAGUUUGGUUUUGUAUAGGAGUUUGCUGCACUAGAACAGUUUGAGGUGGAUGUGGUGCUGAAAUAGCCAUUUGUGGAACAGGCAUAAAGGCUGUCGCAGUGGCACUGGGAUUGGAAAUUGGCAUGGGAUUCUCCAAUUUCAUCUUCUUAGAUGGUGGUUCAGAGUUAAUUGAAUCAGCUGAUCUAACAAGAUAAGCACUCUCCGCUUCUUCUGCAACAAAUGCGGAGAGGACAGAGGUCUUUAUCUUCAGGGAACGAGUAGAAGCAACAAACUUGUUGGCUACCUCAGCAGCAAUUGCAGCAGUACCCUUAUUCUGUGGUUGAAGUGCAGGAUAAUUUGAGUUUGGUUUUGGAGGUUCUGCUGAAGGUGGCAGCUUUGCUGACAUCACAACUGGUUCAUCAUGAACCUGCCUUUGCAUGUCCUCAGCUUCCUCCAGCGUUCCUUGGGCCACCUGCCAUUUAGAAUGUAUUUGUUAGAUCGAACAAAACUCAAAAUCAUCACGAUUGUCGGAGUAUACCAAAUGUAAUUGUAUUUGUCAGUCCCUGUUAACCGAAAACUGUAUCGUGAGUCAAGAGGAGAGCUUUAUCUUGCAUAUAGGAGAUUUAGUCAUCUAAUUCACAAAUUUUCAUGCUAACAUUAACUAGACUGUUGUCACUAACCUAAAAUGAUAUUUGUAAUGAAUUUUAAUAGAUUGAUACUCUGCUAUGUCCCAAAGAGAUGUCACUAUGCCAGUUUCCUAAAAUUCAGAAUACAAGGGUGACAAACAAUUUCUUGUCAUAUGAGAUUGCCCUAGCAAGCAUUGUACCCCAAGCUUGCUCCAAUGGUGUAAGUAUUCCUGUAAUAUAUAUGGAAAUAUAGAUAUGCACAAGAUUGUUGAUUGGUCAACCAUGCAAAGUCAUAAGCCUACGGGUUAGAGAUCACACCUAGUGCAUGACUGACAACUCUACCUUGUCAUGACACUCCUGAAAAGUGGCUGAAAUAGAAGUACAGCCUACCAAAGAUGUACCGGUCUUCUCUCUCGCACUCUCCGACUUCAAUAAGAAGAUUGAUGGAUGUCAACCUAAUGCUUGUUUUUCAUAUGUAGAGAAAUACCAGAGCGCUGUAUCUAUAGCUGUUGUUGGACCUUCCAUCACAGUCCUAGGUCUAAUAGGAUUUGUCUCCUUAUAUAUGUAACCAGGACCAGUGUCCUAACUUGAUCGUGAAACCAUUUAAGUUUGGUUAAAGUUUCACUAGAAAGAGGUCCUAAGAAGAUGCUAAGUCUAACAAUUUGGAGAUCCAAGACAAGCAUUAGAUGAUUUACACAUUAAAGAAGACAUCAUGUUUAGAGAGAACAAGCUUGGAAACCAAAUUACAAACCUGUAUCUGAGUGCGAACAUUCUCCAGAGUAGAUUCCUGAAUAACUUCGAUAAGUGAGUACGCAGAACUCCAUGCAUAUCUAAGUCAAGUGUGGUUAAUAGCAAUUACAAACUACAAAAAUCAAACCUGCUCCUCCAGUGCCGCUUUUAACUGAGAAACAAGGGCUGCUCUGUUUGCCUCAACUGAUAUGAGCUUCUCAAGGCACUUGGUUAGAUGAUCUCAUGCUUCUGUAACUCAUUUGCUAAGGUCUCCUUCCGAGGGUCCCCUACCAAAACCAGAAAUAUUGAGAAAUGCCAUGCAGUAUAUGAUGAAGGAUUACGAGGAAUGGCAGAACUUGUAAAAGAGAAACUGUUUUCUAUAAUGGCUAAAAUAUUUUUAGAUCACCUCGACUGCAGGCAUAUUUAAUUUUCUUUUCCAAUUCCCAGACAUGCCGAACAGCAUUCAUGCACUUGUUCAUGUCCACAUCCUCUUUAGGUUUUUCACUGAUAACAAUACGAAAGGCAGAUAAAAUCUUUUCUUCUUUGCCUCCAACAGAUAAUUUCUGGAUUUAAGAGAAUUGUUAAUUCAAUCAGUUCCCUUAUUUCGUCAUAGAUAUUUGUUGUUAAAAAAGUUAGGAUCAAGAAAAUGAAUGGGGCUUUUACAGUCUGAGAGUCUCUUCUUACAAUUCCAGCAGAACUACAAGAAUAAUUUUUGUUCAAUUCCAAUGCAGGUGAAGGUUCAUUUCCAAGAAUAAAGUCUUUAAAGUCUUGACCACGAGAUCCAAAAACUCUUCUCUCUACCCAAAUAUUAACCUACAAUAAUAAAUGAGCAUCUCUCAUAUUAGAAGACCNNNNNNNNNNNNNNNNNNNNNNNNNNNNNNNNNNNNNNNNNNAAGUCAUCAAUAAAAUACCAUUCAGAUUCAAGACCUUGUAAUCAUAACACCGCAUAUAGUAGAUUAUGAAGCUUUCUUCACUUCUUCAAUGGAACUCAAUGGAGAGUCACACAUAUAGCAUUUUUCUUUUCUUUUUUUCUUUUCCUUUUUUUUCGAGGGUGGCGGUUUGGGUGAGGGGAGACAACGAUAGGCUCAAGAAUCAUUGCACCAAACAAUACAAGAUCACAUAUAUCAAGCUUCAUGAUGCACAAGUCUAAUCACAAACUGAAAAAUUCAUAGUCUAAUUAUCUCUAGAAAUAUUUUCGAGCAAGUAUUAGUGAAGCUUAAGAAAACCACAUAUGCAAGUUACUGUGAUAAAUCUAAUUUAUGGUCAAGGUAUGCUUAAAUGUUAUUAAUGCUCCAACUAGUUAAAAAAAAUAAAUUAAAGAACUUGGUCGAAGGCUUUAUGGUGAAAACAACAUGCAGAUGGAGUUCUUAGGAAUACCCAAAGAUUUCACUAGGAUAGAAUUUAGUAAAAUCUUAAUUAAUUAGUAAGGUUAAUCUAAAUCUAGGCAAAUGCACCUCAGGUAUGUUUCUUGACACAAAUGCAUAGGCAGCUUAAAUCAUGUGGAAGAAUAGGCACAUGCAACCGAUGCCCUGGUUGCUGAUUGAGUACAUUAUCUGACAUCAAGCUUUCUUUCUUUUCUUCCCUUUUCCUUUCCUUUUUCUUUUCUUUUCUUUCAUGUCGGCAGGGCAUGGAGGGUGAGAAUGGGAGGGGAAUGGAUCAUUGUUUCAAAGGCAAUUUACUACCUAGUCAAGUGCUCGGACAACUGUGAUGAAGUUGAAAGGAAGAACCAGAUUCACAUGUUGCAUAUCUUAUUGAUGAUUAUCCAGAGCAGAAGCAGAGAUCAAGCGAAGUGACAGGUUGCUUAAUUCCUAUAUAACAGAGCACUAAUAAGUAAUUGUGUGGAUAAAUUGCUUUGAUGGACUAUGAUGAAGCUGAUGGUAAAAGUUUGUGACAAGGUACACCAUACCAUACUCGUCUGAACGGUACGAGGCAUACCGUACCAUAUUGGCUUAGUACCGGUACAUGGCAUGGGGGACAUACCGACACUUGGUAUGCUGAAGCAGCCCCUGUACCGGGCAUCUACAGACACAAUAAUAGGAUGGCAUCAGUACGGAACCUUGUAUCGAGACUGCGUACCAUGGUUUAUGAUCUUUGUGAGAAAGAAAGUUCUACAAGAAGGCAUAUUUAAAUGAACAAAAUUCAUCCCAUGUCAUGCAUGACUUACAAAAACGUGCAUGGAGAUUGUUCAGGUGUCUUGCAGUGUUACACUUAGCUCCUUUUCAAGUUUGUUGCUAUAGUAUUCAAAUAUGAGGCAGCAUCUCAGCAGUCUUAUUUCAUUUCUAUUGUCUGUCUUAAAAAACAAAUAGCAGAAGGACAAAAGAAUUUGGGUUAAAAAACUGAAUACAUGAGAGGUGGUGGUCAUACAUGACAUGGUAGAAUGUUGUGACCACGCCUCUAGAGAAAAGGUUUGGAUAUGUCGAUCAUGUUUUCGUAUAAGAUCAUGGCGGAGCCGCGGAGGGUUGUCAAAAUGUUUGAGGGAGAUGAAGGAAUGCUGAGACCAGUUGGAAACCAGAGAUUUUGAACAUUAAAUGUUAUACUUUUUCUUUUCCUAAUUUAAACAACCGUGGUUCAAGAUAGAUGGAAAGAGCUUCAUUUUAUCUGAAUUUGCACAUAAAUGACAAUGGAUCAUAAGAGAGGACCACAAAUUCAUUCACAUUAUAAAUUUAUAAUAUAAAACAGAUGGCAAGCAAAUACAUGAAGAUCUGAUCCAUGUUAUCGAUGCACAUAUAUUUAUAAAUAGAACUGAUACAGAUAAAACUAAUUAAUGAUAAAAUUAGCCCGCACCAGUCGAGAGAUGAUAUUCUUUUCAUGUUCACCACCAUUUUUGAAAACAUCCAUAAGUGCUGCUGGAAGAACCUUCCAAAAUCUAUCAACAAAUUCAGGCCCAGUACGCCUGCCAUUCUGUAAGAUGUCAUUAGCAAGAUAUAGAUAUGGAAUCUUCUUUUCCUUUCGGGAACUACGGAAUUGCUUGGCCCAUGUUUGGACAACUUGCUCUGCAUUCUUUCGGUGAAAAAUACACCAACAUGACAGAGCUACGGACAAGUGAAGUUAAGGUGACAUAUUUGAUUACAGAAAAGAUCAGCUUACAGCAGUAUUACAAAUAAAACACAAACAUGAUGGCAUCCCAAGAACAAUAGACAAAUCGAUAUGGUCAUCAUGAAAAAGAGCAUAGUUCUAAUUGCAAUUGUUUCUUCCUAUAGCUCUAGUCCCGAGAGCUACACUUUAAGCAUACCUAUUUUAACCUACUGUAAGUGAUUUGGUUUGCAUUAUCUUAAAUUUUGCACAAGCCAACUAAGAUUUAUUUGGGUCAUAGUAUAUUGAAAGCAAUCAUACUAGACAUAGUUUAUGUUCUUGAAAUUUCCAAAUAUAAUAUUUAUAAUGACUUCCAAAGCUUGUUUUUUAAUGAUAACCUAAAUGUUAACAUUACAUUCUGAUUUAUGCCUGUUUUGGCGAGAAUUUUAAACAUGGGGCAUGCUCCAAAAUCAAAAUUUCCAAUAUUUUUAAAACUGUAUCAUCCAAAUCCUUUGGUUUUCCAACCCAUCAUUCUUCAUGUUGAGCAUUGAAAAUCUUAACCCAGUAUGAUAGUGAACUGACCGGAUGGCAUGGUUCCUGUGGAGAGACUCCUGAAUAUAAUAUUAUAACAAAACAAUGUUAUUUUUUGAGAACCAAUAAAACAGCAUAUCCCAUGGAAAGAUUACAAGAACAUGGAGCCUUGCAUCUCUAAUAACAUAAUGAAAGCUUGGAAUGCGUAUAAAGAAAGAAAAUUAGACAUAGAAUCCCACAAUAUAUAUCCAAAAGCAUCUCAAAGAUAUCGAGACUCCAUGCCGGAUAUCACGCGCUAAAUGACAUCUGUUUCAGCUGACAAUAAAAAGACUAGCAUUGUCUCAAAUGAACUUUAGCUACUGCUUACGUAUACUAAAUCAUGCCUCGUGAUCGUUCUGUUAGUAGUUCAUCCGAAACCAUAGGAGUGACUAUAGCAGAGAUUCACAAUAAUCAUAAAAAUCAUCGAAAUGACAAAAAAAAAAGCAUCUAUGAAGCAUUUAAAUUUUAUUUCAGUGUCAUAUAUAACAUUCAAUCCACAUUCUCAAUAAUCAUCAAAAACUAAUAUAUAUCUAAGAAAUGGCACAUAAAAAAGGAAAUCCACCAUUGUGAUCUUCAUUCUUGCCAAACAGAAAAGGACCAAAAUGAAAACUGAAAUAAGUGAAUUCCCAGAGUAAGAAUUUUUCAGGUUGGUCAAAGAGAACAUCAAAAAUUUCAAAAAAGGAUACACUGAAUGCGACUGCGAGUGUAGUUUAGCUUGGAGAGCUCAUCUGCUAGUAUCUGCUCAGAGAAAGCGUGAUUCAUCCCACCACUUCAAACUAGAACAAACGCCCCUCGCUGUCACUUUCACAAGAAAGCCUCAAGAACAAGCGACAUCAAUCAGAACCUUAAAGAUCACAAAAAAAUUCACCAUUCUAAGCACCAAAAGCCUGGAAAGAUUCGAUCUUUAAGCCCAAAACACAACGAUUUCACUAAAUUCAGCUCAUAAACGGACGGAAAGAAUAAAAAUUCUCAGAAACAAAACUAAAAUCAAGUACCUGAGACAAGAAACGGCAACCAGGACUCAAGGCAAAGAAGGAGAGAAUUCGAACACCGUUACACUCUCAGGCACUGCCGAGAAGCCACCGUGAUCAAAAACCUCGAAAUGGGAAGAAAAGAUGGGAUUUUUACCUUGGGUUUUGAUAUGAACUUAGGGUUUCGAGGAUCGCAGAGCGCUGCCUUCUCCUCUCUACGAACAAAAACUUUUCACCCUCUUUUUAACGUUUGCCGAAUUGGACGACGAACUGGAAGGAAGGCGAGUCGGCGACCACACUGUGGACCCCCAGUGUACCGUAUUUAUACCGUGGGUCCUUAAGACCGAGUGAAUCACGACCUUUGAAAGAAACAUCCGUUCGAUCUGAUGAUGCCACUUUUCCGACGGCUAUUCCCUGAGCGUCACUAAAUUUGUUGCCAUUUAUGCCACUUUUCUCUGUAUUUUGUCUUAAUUGCAUGACCUGUGGGGCCCUAAAAGCGGUGGGUCCCAUCACAACAAAAUGCUUGGUACACCGAAUUUGCCGGGCACCCAGAUUUAGGCUCCGAGGUUGAAUUAUGUGCCCCACCUCCUGUGGUCUUGGGAGGACGGCCGGUGGGUGUGAGUGGGUGUUUUUUCCGUGGUGUGUGAAGCAUUUGUAAAGUUUAUGGUUUGUUUCGUUCAGACAAUUUUAUUGACGGCGGGGGGUAGUGGUUUUGCGGAAGAACUUGCAUGGUUGUGAGCUUGCCUGAGCCAAUGCAUUGGAAAGUGGCACGUGUGAUAUGCACGUGCCUAACCUAAUUUAUUAUUAUUAAAAUAUAUACCAUUUACAGGAGAGAAGCUAUGAGGAGAGUCAGGGAUUGCAAUGGGAGGAGAAAGAAGUGAGAGAAAAGGUGGCGGAGAGGAGUAUGGUGGAGGAAAUGGAGAAAACAAUGCAUGGUUGUGCAGGCAAGAGAGCUAUGAACUGGUUAGGCCCGGGUGAGUGGAGAUUAGCAGCAGAAAACCAACCUUGAGUAAUACUAAGAGGAUCAGAACGAUGUGUUCGCAUAAUAGUUGUUUCCUCUUGUAAUGGAUUUUUGAAUUAAAAAAUCGAUAUACACAACUAUAUAAUAUCUUGAUGAUUCAUAUAUACUUACGAUAGGAAAUGCUUUAUGGGGCAAUUGUUUGAUGUUACAGCAAGCUAUUAAAGUACUCGGCAAAUGGAGUACUUGUCUAGUAUGACACUUAGUCAGUUUUAUAUUGAUUAUUUUAUGUCCUAAUUUUGUGUAACUUUCAGUUUGCAAGUGAUUAAUUUCUCAGUGAUUGCUAAUAAUGAAUAUCACAUAAGCCUUAACCGCUAUACAUUAUAAGAACCUAAUAUAUGGUUCACAUCAUGUAUGUUAAGAUCAAUCUUUUUUAGAUGCUCAUUUUUCUUUGUAUAAACUUGUUACAUCAGUUUGCAAGUUCUCUGUAAUGGAGAUGAAGGAAAGAGGAGUUAGAGCAAGAAAGUCUAUCAAUCAUAAUUAAUCUUUUUCUCAAGAUAAUAGAAACCACUAAAAAGGUUUUUUUUUUAUAUACAAAAAUUGGGAUAAGAUGCAACCAAGUAGGCUUUGUGAUCCUUCCAACUACCAUAAUUUACAUACAACCUAAGCGACGGAUCUUUCCUUCAAUCUAAUGAACCCCAUCUAUUUUAUAUGGCUGAUAACACUAUUCUAGAUCUUUCAAUGGAUUUUCAAAAAGAAUUAAACUUUUUACCUAUAUAUAUAUAUAUAUAUAUAUAUAUAUAUAUAUAGNNNNNNNNNNNNNNNNNNNNUAUAUAUAUAUAUAUAUAUAUAUAUAUAUAUAUGAAGGAGACUCAACUUCUGCACAGUUCUUCAUUUGCAAGAUAGUUGCUGGUGUUAAUGAUGCCGAUGUUAAUAUACCCAUGUAACCAUUAAAAUUCUUUACUAAAUAUGCAAAGCCUUUUAUUUAUUAUGAUUUGUUACAUUGUCAUAUUAGGUUUCAAAACUAUUAAAAAGAAGAAGAAAAAAAAUAUUUCACGCAGACUAGUAUUAAUGAUUAGAGUUUUUUCAUAAAGGCUCAGUUUUGUGCAAAAUUUUCCACUAGCUAUUUGGGCAUCAAUUUUAAUGACACUGAUAUAAUGACAAAAAUUUCUGCUCGACCAUUAUUGAGCUUUAUUACUCAAUGUGAAACAGAAAUUUAGCUAUUGAAGUCUUCUAUUUAUUAUAAUUUAUUAAGUUGCUAUAUUAUAUUUAAAAAUAAUUAGACAAGGAAGAAAAAUUUAUUAGGAUUUGUUACAUUAUGUUAUUACUUCAAAAUGGCUAAAAAAGGAGAAAAAAUAUACCUCGCAUAUCGUGCAAGCCAGUACUCGAUCAUCAUUAAAAUUCAUUACUUAAUAUAUAACAAAAAUUUGGCUAUUGAAACCUUCUAUUUAUUAUCAUUUAUUGUAUUACUAUAUUAUAUUUCAAAAAUAAUUUAAAAAAAAUUACAUGCUUCGCAUCACAUGGGUUAUGCUAGCAGAAUCUAGAAUGAAGGCUAUAGAUCCAUUUUUGGUUAAGGCACUUAUAUAGCUAAUAUUUUUUGGAAUACCACAUUAUUCUCAUAGCUUUUGUUAUUCCUUCUCUCUCAUUUCUCCUUGCAUACCUUUUUUGUGAAAGCUCAUUUAAAACCUCACCAUCCUAUGUAACUUAAAUUAUUUCAAUUUCAUAUCUUUUCUAGGAUGACUAACAAAAAUCCCAUCCAAAAUUCUCCUUUCACUCAAUUUACACUAAAAUAUGAUAAAAUAAAAUGAGUGAAACAAAUCACCAGAAAAUUUUUAUUUUUUAUUUGUUGCCAACACAAUCUAUAAAGUGGAUAUAGUUUCCACUACACCCUCAUGCAGAAAUUCAUAUUAACCGUCAUGUAUCUUUUGAGAUACAAAAAGAAUUUGUAUAAUUUAGCAUAAAGUAUGCUGUGAAUCUCAAAAUCUUUGGUGUAUCAUACAUGGGUUUGAAGUGGAAGCUAAGCUCUAAUAUUAAUAGAUCCCACGUUUUUUGUUAAGUCAGUUUCAUAUGGUUAUGGGAUGAUGUCUUUGUGUAUGUGUAUGUGUUUGUGUGUGUUUUUUUUUCUAAAAAAAGACCGAUAGACCUUACUAGAUUCUCAUACAAUUUUGUAUGCUUAUGUCUUGUAGGAAAGGUAUUCAUGAGAUAAGAAAUGGAUACAAAUUAAGUAAAUAAGCUUGGCUUAGAAAACUAAAAAGUAAAGAAAAUUUAUCAAAAUACAAUAGCUUCUGAAACUAUUUGGAAGAAGUAGUGAUAUACCAUUCAAGCCAGCAAUAUUUAAUAUCAUAGAUAAUGAUGUCUGGACUUUUAGCUUGAGAAAAAAAGAUUUUUAUGUUUAUUUCUAGCUAGAAGAGUACCCAUCCGCUUGUCGUAGCACUUGUUAGAGGAAUUUGUUGAGAACUCACAAUAAUUAGUUAAAUUCCAAAAAAUCUUGUCAUAAUAGAUAUAAGGUGACUAUAGAUGCAAUUUUUUCCAACUGGGCUAAAUAGUGUGGGAGAUAAUGUAUGUUAAUAUUUCUUCUAAAUUGCAAAGACUAGCCUUCUUCGGAUAGAUUAUCUAACACUUUAGGUUGGUCCUUUUAUAUUUAAUGAAAAAUAGAAUUACAAGUCUAAGUGAAAAAAGGUUUAUUGUGUUCCCCAUCUUGUGAGGUUGUUAAACUAGAGAGGACUAGGAUAUGCAAGGCUAACAUAGAUAGGUGGACUUGUACAUCAUUAGAUUCUUAGUUAUAUCUUUUGAAACUUGUAAAAUGAUGGAUGAUCCAAUUGGAAGUCUCUAAACAAUAUUUGUAAGGAAUUUACCUAUGAGAAUUAGAAAAUGUAUUAACCUUUCCCCUUGUUUGACAUACCUUUUUUCUUUUUUAAAUUACAAAACUUCUACAAAAACUUUGGUGUUGGUGCUAAUUGUUAAUUUCUAACUUGAAACACAUUAUACAAUUGCAUUAUUGGUAGUGAUAUCCUUACUGAGUUUGGAGUGAGUAUGUGUUGCUUCGUUACUGCAUGGUAUUCUAUUGGUCGGCUAUAAAUAGUUACAUACUUCCAAUAUAGUAGCUACAAAGUGAAGUUACUUCAAGUCACUUAAUAUGGUUUAGAUAACCAGUUAGUCUCAUUACUCUUUUUUAUUCUAAAUGAAACAAGCAUUCUUUAUUUGAUAACAAAUUCAAUAAAGUUUUCCAAUGCUAAAUCAUAAUAUCAACACAGAAACUUUCUUGAAAACUAGAAGUUCGACCUUAACCCAAUGUUUGAGGGCCCUGUUGAUUUUUUAGUGCAUAUAUUUGGAAAAUGAUACCUGAGGAUUUUUUUGCUGGUGCACCUAAUGGAAUCAAAGAUUUAGAUACUUAGAUGCAAAUGGAUGAUGGAUAAUAAUAUAAUGGCUGAUCUUUGCAAAAUAAUACAGCUCAUCACCAAAAGUCUAAUGAAAUACUUGGCUAGUUAAUGGCAUCAAAGCCAAAAUUAAUACACUUUUCAUAACUAGCCAAGUGCAUCAUAGUUGUAUGAUUGCGCUUGAAUAAUCGAUUGUGUAUACUUUUUUGGGGGUUAGGGAUUAUGUAUCUUGCUUUAGUGCAAGCAAUACUUGUCAGACAUGAGUAGCUAUCAAAAACCUCUUGCAUUUGAACCAUUGAUAGGCCAAUUCUUGAUUCACCAAAAUAUUAUGUUCCUUAAGGAAAGAAAAAAAAAUACCGCUCAAGGUUUUUUUGGGCAAAAAUUAGUAAAUUUAACACUUGAAGUUUGGUGAGGAGCUAAAAUAUAAGUUAAUUAGAAUUUUGUUUCAUGGUUAAGCUUGAAGUGCUAAUGCUAAAAGUUUUCACCUUUUAACUCUUUAAUCCACAUAUACUUAAAAUGUCAUUUUAUUAGAAAACUCUUUUAGAGAAAAUUUUGUUUUUUUGACUCCUUCUAUCAAGGCCCAUAAUGAAGCAAAUCCUAAAGAAAUUUAAGGCAUUAGAUUUGCUUUAAAAUGAUGGCAGAUGUUCAAAUGUUCCUCUACUUGACAAUAGACCAAUGGUGAUUAAUUUAGUUUUCUACAAGAAAGGAUUGAUAAGAGAUUAGAUGCAUGGAAAUGGCAAACUCUUUCUAUGGCAGAAAAGUUAGCUCCGAUCAAUUUGGUCUUAGCUGCAACUCUUAAUACAAUUUUACUUUCUAAUUCUAGAUGGUUUGUUCAAAUGGUUGGAAUGUACUAUACCUGAAGGAUUUGGUAGCACAAAUUUAUCAUUGUGGCAUAAGGUUUUAAUAGCUAAGUUUGUUCUGAAGCUUUUUUUUUAAGCCUUCUAAUUUAGCAUGCCAAGUUCCAUAUGCAAGAUAUGGAUUUCAUGGGGACUAGAGGUACCAUUCAACACCAUAGGUUACAAACAGUGCAAAACUAAUCCAAAAUAAUCUUUAAUGGAUGGUGGGGCUCGGUUCCACUAUUGAAAUUUUUAAUGAUCUUUGGAUUGGAAUACGUGCUUGAAAAGAGUUUCUUCUAUAUUCAAUAUGGAGAUGCUUGUCUCAAGUAUGCAAGUAGAGUCAAUUAUCAAGGAUGGCCAACAGUAUGACAACUUGAUCCAGUGUUUAUCUCCUCAAGGAGAGUGUUGCUCAGAUUUUUAACAUUACCUAGAAUUUCUUCAUAAUCAGAAGUUUUUAUGGUGUAUGGACAUACUCGAAGACAGAAAAUAGCAGUCAAAGAAGUAUAUUACAAAGCUCUGUGUUGCCCAGAUAGACAACCCAAGAGGGGGGGUGAAUUGGGUUUUAAAAUAAUUUAGAUGAUUAAAAUGAUGUGGUUGAUUAAUUAAAAACUAUUGCAAGUUAUUUAAUUAAUGCUAAGUGCUGUGAGUGAUGUGAGGGGAAGAAGAACAGAGACAAUCCAAUGCAAACACAGAGUUUUAUAGUGGUUCGGAGCUACCCCUUGCUCCUACGUCCACUCCCCAAGUCUCUCUUGGGAAUUCACUAUAACCCCCNNNNNNNNNNNNNNNNNNNNUGCACCAAUUCUUUCACAAGCAUGGUAGGCCUACUCAAAGGACACAUCAGAUUGCACUGUGUUAUUCAUUGGUUAAUAUGGAAUGCUCCUAAUGCUUACAUCUUCCAACAAGUGUUUGAUAGCUCUCAACUUUGUGCUACUUGUGCCUUCAUGCAACCUAUUGAAUUUGAUAAAACUAUUGCUUAAAGUAAGAAAAAGUAGAGUAUUAUUUUUUUUUUUGCUUUUAACACUCCCUCUACUCUUUUCUAUGUUAAAUAGGUAUUGAUACCCCCACAACCUACCUGGAUGAACGUAAAUUUUGAUAUAAGGGAUUAAUGGUUGGUGCUAAGUUCAUUAUCCAUAAUGAUCAAAAUAGAAUUAUCAAUCCUCUAAAACAUUCUAGGGUGUUUAUAGCCGAGUUAAGAGCUGUAUGGAAGGGUUGAACUAUGCUUUUAGUAUCAUUUAGGCUAACUCAAUUUGCCUAGAAGGCGAUUCUUCUUAUGUGAUAACUUGGAUCAAUGAUGGAUCUAAGGAGAAUAAAUUUUCUUCUUCACUAUAUUAGAAAGAUGCAUACACUUUCAUUUUCUUGUCACCCACUUCUAUCCUUAAACUAAUCAACUAAUAAAUUGGCGGCUUAUAGAGCUAGAGAGUGAUUAUUAUAUGAGAUAUUGGCUAGUAAAUUUCUCUUGAAGCCGAUAACCCCUUGCGGCCAAGAUGCAAUGAGUUCUACUUCCACAUUUGUGAGAAAUAAAGAGUUUUACUCCUUUCUAUGGCUAGAACUUAAAAAUAAAAAAAACAUAAAACAUCUUCUAUAGCAAAAAUAGUUAAUGGGUGCUGAGGCACCAUAUCAAUUAUCAGUUGAAGCACAUAUCGUUCAUGCCCAAAUCAUAUUAUUGCCUGUCCCUUUUUAUGUUAAAUUCAUCAAAAAUUUUAGUUACAUAUUACUGUAAAAAUAUUCCUGAAUAAGCAUAACUAGAAAUGACUUGGCAUCAACCUGAAUCAACAAAAUUCAUAUUUUUAUCAUUUGCAGCGUGUCGUUUGCUAUACAGUUUAUGCAAUUAAUGAAUGGAUUCUAAGUGUAUAUAUUAAGAAAAAAUAUGGACCUUUCCCACACCGGUUACCUACUAAUUCAUAUGGAAGAACUAGUUAAUGAUAUAUCUAUAUUGUAAAUACUCUACAAGUAAAGCCAAAUGCGUUUCAAUAAAAUGUGCCUGGUAUCUUCUUGAUGAACUAUUGCUUAAAUUGAUAAGCACUAUUUUAUUUUAUUUGUUUUAGUUUUUAAAAAACACUUCCUAGAGGUGUUUUUUGAAUGCAAAAAGGAUAAUGAUAAUUAAAAAAAAUAUACCUCUAUCACUUACUUUUUAUGGCAUUAGAAUAUGUACCAUAGAAUAUAAAAUAUCGAUAUAAGAAAAGGAUACAAGAUAUUGGCCGCAUCAUAUGAUUCAUGAAUAAUGAUACUUGGUGCAACUUGCCACCUCUCAAUCACACACAAACUUCACAAAAUUACCAUUGAAAUAUUAUAAAUUAAUAAAUAUAUUUUUUUCAGCCAAAGAAUGGUUAUUAUUUCAAUCACACAUCUUGGAAAUCUUAUAUUAAGACAUUGGAGUAAAUCAAAGGAAACUAUUGAAAAAAUAUCUAAAUGGUUGAUUUUAUUGUAUCAAAAAUAUGCUUUGCACUUUAUAUGUUGGUAAGUGAAAAUGAAGAUUGUAGACCCAACAAAAAUAAAUUGUUAGAUUAAAGUUUAUUUAUAACCAAAUAUUAGUAUAAAAUGGGAGUCAAUAAAAAAAAUUGAGAGCAGAAGAAUUCAAUGGAAUCAUUUAUCUUUUUAUUGCUAGAGGCAGAAUCAUAUAUAAUUAGAUGAGAUGUAAUAGGAUUGUGAUGAACUAGGAGAAAAUAUAAUCAUGAUCAAGUUUGCUUUUUAUAACACAUUGUUAAUCUUUGCCAACUCUAUCUCUCCAUUUUAUUUGCUUUUUAGUGACUCUUUAUCUAUUUGCUCACUCCACUUGUCAUCCUAUCUUGUCUUUAUUAUUAGAGUUUACAUAGGGCACAUAAUAUCUCAAAAUGGAGACUUGGUUGAUUUUUAUUAGUUUUGAGCUUUAAACCUCAUUUGAUAGUUUAUAAUAAAAUGAAAACCUCAUAUGAAAGUUUAUGAUGAAAUGAAAACUUUAUCUAAAUAUGUUUGGCUUAAAUUGCAACUUUAAAUAUCUUCGAUCUCCAUCUUUAAAUAUAGUUAUCUUUAUUAGUUUUCUUGGACUACAAUAUAUAGUAUAAUUCUUUGCAAGGUGCGUGCAUUGCACCUGUAACAACUCUAAUUAUACAAAACAAACACCAAGAGCAUCUACUGGAUAUUUAGUUGUCUUUGUCUCAUAUCUGUAGUUAUGCAACAAAGAAUAUAGAGAAAAACACAUAUAUGUAGAGAGAGAGAGAACAAGCUUCGAAUUGAAGUUUGAUAUUAAGAAAUGAGAUUCUUAAUUAUUAUUCAUAAAAAUCCUAGAACUUAAUUAGAAAUACUACUCGAGGGAAGCUCUCUCCUAGUAGGAGGCCAAAAUAUUAAGAAUUCAAAUUCUUUUUUUUCAACUAACAAUCUACUAAUAUAACCUUAAGACAAUUAAUAUAAAAUUAAAAAAUAAAAACCAUGAAUUAUUAUUAAAUAUUUGAUUGACAAUAAAUAAUAUCCAUAUCCUAUCAUCCAUAUAUCAAAAAUUUGAUCUUUUUUUUAAAAAAAUAAAAUAAUAAAAUAUGUAUAAUAAUAAGAAAGAAUUACAAGAUAAAUAUAGCUAAUAGUCAACAAAUAAGCAUGCACUUGGAGAGAGAGAUGUGCGCUUCACUAAAUCACUACCAAAAAAUUUAAUGUAGGUGUAUAGAAUUUUGACCUAAUGUUAUGUCACAAACCAUGUAAAGGGCAUCACAAAUUCAAUUUAGCAUUUGAAAUCAUGUCAUACUAUGUGAUUUUAAUUUGUUUACUAACUACUAGUAUUAUUAUAUAAAAAGUAAAUUUUUCUAAUAUAUUCAAUCUUGGAUAUUUUAGUUUUUAUUUAGGACAUAUUUUGUUUUUCUAGUUAGAGCCUCAGAAAUAAAAAUAGGAAUUAGAGGAAUCAUGCUAAUUGUGGAAAGUGGAUUUGUAGUUAACAGACCUCGCUAGACUAUAUAACAUCUCAAAGAGAUUUUUUAGGGAAAAAAUCAAAGGGAUGGUUUUUUGUUCUAAACAACAAACUUAUAUUUGCUAUAAAAACUCAUACAAGGUGUAAACUUUUCACCUACUUCCAAGUCCAAUAACAAAGUUCAAUAGUGAAACCUAGUGAAUGCAAUGAACAAAUACUAAAAAUAUUUGUAAAAAAAAAAGUUUUAGAGAGUCCUUAUCCAUCCAUCUAUUCGUCCAAAAAUUUAUAUACCAUGUCAUUGCCAUUGAAUUCUUGAUUCAAGACAAUUUGAUGCAUAUAGAUCUCUUCAAAUAAUUAUAUAGUAUUUCUUUAUAGACAUUUUAAAGCUGGUAUCACCAUAGUUUGCAUGUCACUUGGCAACUCUAAUUGUUGAUUCAAAAGUCAAAUCUCCCCCAAUCCACACAACCUCAUUGCCUACUGGGCUGGUCCGGGCCUGGGCAUUUGCAGCAAGAAAUAUAUGUUCGAUUCCCUCUGCGGUUCUCCUUCCGUUUCCCUUAGAACAAACCCCGAUGUCGUCCUGUCCUGAUGCCCGAAAGCCUCUUAUAAAACGCCGAGAGAUCCCGGCUCCCUCCCUCGCUUCCCCCAAUCCCUUUCCCCUCUCUCCGCACGAAGCGGUGGACAGAGAACGGAGUGAAAGAAUCUAAUAAGAGCCAAAAACGAGAUCAAGACCUCGAAUCCCUUCACUUCUUCGCAUCCCGAGUCUCGCUAUCACUUCUCCGCAAUGCUGCGAAGGUAUUUCGAUCUCUCUUUCUUCUUCGCGGGCUCCAAUCUCGAUUCUUUAGGGUUUAUGGGGUUUUUGUUCGAUUCUUCCCUUCAAAUCUUGAUGCUCUCCGGUCCUCAUAAUAUUCUUGCCAUUAAAUAUUAUAAAAGAAUUUAGAUAGGGUUUUGUUGCAGUCUUGCAGAUGAUGCUAUUUUAAUGCAUGCAACGGUGAAAUUUUUGUAAAUCAGAGUUUUUUUUGGUAUUUUUUUGGAUAAUUUAGUGCCCCCACUGUAGGUGCAUUUGGAAGCUCUCAUCAGGCGAUUCCCUCAAGAGGAACCCUCGGACGACCAUGGCCCAGGUGCAUAUCCAUUUCUUGAUUACUCUUUUGCUUCUUGAUCCUCUUAUGAGCAUUGAUGCUUUGACUAGGGAGAUUUCUGAGCUUUGUGUGGAGUUUAUAAAAGAAUAAAAAAUGAGUUUGGUAAAGAAAAGUAAUCCCUAAAGCAUGUUGUACAAAGAUAUGCAAAACUAUAAUGAUUGUAGAGUUAGCUUAUCUAGUUUUGUGGAGAACGAAUCUAUGAGAACUAUAUUAUGCUAUCAAGUAUCUUGAGCAGCUAAUAUUUUUUAAUUUUAUGGAUUUAGUUAAACAAUACUAUCAACUCCUGAGGCUUCAAUUUUACAUGUGCGACAAAAAAUCCGCUCAUACCAUAACCGUAAGGAAGUCAAUGCGUAAGUUUAUUGAUGAGGUUAUCAUCCUGUCAUGUUUAGCAGCUAAUAAAGAGUGGUUGUUGUUGCAGAAAAAUUAAUGUAUAGGGCAUAGCAUAUGUUAUACAAAUGUGGAACCAAAUUUUGGUUUUAUAAUAUAUGAAAGAGGUGCAUAAUUUGUAUGAAGGGGUUCAUGUGGCAAAAUGUCCAUGUGUUGGUACCAUAACAGAUUUAUGAGUAGUCAAACUGAAUGUGGUAGUAUGAAGGGGUUUACGCACUCUAUACUCUGUUAUCCUUAUGCAGAAAGAGAUUCUAUAGUUGCCAAUAGAGGCAAAAUAUUGUUGCAUUAAUAGGUGGGUAUUGAAGUGAUUCCCUGUAGUUUGCUAUUCAUGCCUUAACCUAUCUGGUGCUUUGGGUUGUUUGACAUGCACAUCUCCAAAUUGGUGUCAUAGGAUGCAUAACAUAACCAAAACUAGCAAUUCUUAACCCAUUUGUAAGGGUUUGUCUAUAAGAAUCUUUCUUCAUAAUUGGUUCUAAUUUGGACCAAGUAGUGACAUUUCCUUUUGAUGCUCUAUGAUGUAACCUUUCUCUCAACUUACUGCUAGGCCUUCUUAAAAAUUGAGCUUCUUGCAUUAUGAGGGCAUCUAUUGGCUGUUUGUGUACAUGCUAAUACCAUUAAUUUUAUUCCCAUAUCCUAUCCUAUCUGCUUUCCAAAGCAUCCUUUGGUUUAUCCAUCAACGUUCUUGUAUCUCUGAUAUCGACCCAUUGUUUGUAGAUUCAUCAUUGUUGACGGGUAUUCUAUGCCAUGCAACGUUUCUUGGGCUGCUUAUUUGUAUAUUAGAUAAAUGAAGACUGUAUAGAAGACUUAUUGGGUUCCCUAGGCAUUGGCUUCCUCAGGCAUUGAGUGACUGAAUAGGGGGAAAAGAUGAUAGCAAGAGAUCUUUGAACUGAAUUGUAGAUUUACUGGCAAUGUAUUAAAGGUGAUUAUGGACUGAUGCCUAUGGUAGUUGACUGAAAUGAAGAGCAUGUAGGGAUAUAUUUACAGAUUGUGAUGGGUUAAGCCCACAGAUUGUUGGGAAUUAAAAGAUCACAGUCUAGAGAAGGUUAUGACAAUGUUGAGGCUUUAUGGAAAAGUAUGACGGAGGUGGUUUGGGGGUUAAGCCAUAUGUGAUGGUUUAAGUGAAGAUGAUGGGAUGUUGAAAGUAUGAAGGGAUGGCUUUGGGCCAUGAAAAUGAGGGGUUAAGCUAGAAUCUUGGCGACAAUGCAUCCCAAUGUAUGUCAUCAUGGCCUUAAGCGAAAGUUUACUACCAUGAAACAAAUAAGGAUAUAGAACUAUAGAAGUAUUCAAAAUUUCAAACAUGUAUUGUGACCAGAAGCAAUAAAAACAUGCUUGGAACUUCGCGAAUAAGUGCUAACCACUUAUAUGUAAAUCUUGGGCAUAUAAUCAGGGUGUUUUCUUCCAUCAUCUUUUCAUGGAUUUGUUACACAUAAUGCAACAAGAAGCACUAAAAAACUGUAUUAAAUUUUGGGAAAAACUAAGAGCUAACCGUUUCUAUGUAAAUCUUGGGCAUGCAACCUGCAUGUCAUGAUAUGUUUACUGAUUGGUGGGUGCUUAAGCGGCACAGUUAGAAUACCGGUGAGUGUUAAGUAGAAACUGAGCGCAAGGGUCCUUUGGAUUUGAUAGAUGGAGUUGCAAAAAAUGGUGAACUUCCAAAAUUACUAUUGUAAUAGCUUAUUGCCUCUUUCACAAUGCACUUAUCAUAUAUAAUGCCAAAAUCGAUUCAAUGCUUCUGCUGGUUGCUCAUCAUAUCUUUCUUUUGUUUGGUUAUUUUUGUUUCUUAAUUAAUAAGACAUCUGCUAACGCAGUUUCAUGUAUUAUCGGCUUAACUUAUCCUUGUUAUCAUGGAGAGCAGAUGCCCUUUUUACUUUCUUCAAGAUAUGAAUACUCAAAUGCUUCUCACCGAAGUUCAACCCAGAGACCUGCUCCUGCAAAAGAAACUCCUAAUUCAGGGAACUAUAUCUCAAAAAUUGUCCUUGGCAGUGUUGUUGUUGGCGCUGCUGUUAUGACAGCUUACAAAAUCGGCUUUUUAGAUAUUAAACUUCCAGAUAAAGCAUCUUCUCGAAAUUCUAGUAAGCUAAACAAUGUGAGAAAGUCAGAGAUUCUCGAGCAUUCUGCUGAACAAACAGUUCAUCAAAAUAAUGAAAAACUGAGCACAUCAAAAGCUGACAUGGAGAUUGUCGAGAAGCACGAUGAACCUGGCCAUUUUAACGAUUCAGAGAUCAAGAGGGAAGUUCCAGAGAUAGCACCUGCAGAGGAGCCUCUGCCUGCCAAACAGAAUGAAUCAGUUAGCCUUUCUCAGGAGGCUGCUUCAGUCCUAGGUGGGCAAUCAGUUGAUUCGGAAAUACCACAUGAAGACAUUCAGAACAGAGAUAGGCCUGUGGCUCAAACAGAAACCAAUGUGGAACAGAAGACAAGUGAAGCCUCUGUGGAACAAAAUGCAGAAAUUGGCAGUUUAGUUGAUGUUCCCAAGGAAACUACAAAUGAAGCCGCUUCUCAUCAUGAUACUUCAUUGGAAAUGCCAAAGGUAUGAACUUGUUCAGGUAGCAUCUUUUUCAUUAGAUUUACCUUGUUUCUGUUGUCUUUCUUGCUUUAACCUUGUUUUGAAGUUUUGUUACUCUUCUGACAUAAUUUCUGCUUCCAGAUGUUCAAUAAAAGCCAUUUAAGGUGCAAACUGCUGUGUGCCUUUGCUAUGUAAUUUUUUCCGUGAAUUGAUUUUAUCAUCCUAACAUUCAUGAGAGUUGCUUUGAUUGUUGUUGUGUACUACAAAGGCCCAAUAGAUAAUUCUAUCUUAACCUUAUCUAACAAGCUUGUCCCUGGUUUGCUUUGAUGGAUUAAAGUAUGAUUGAUUUCAGCUGAGAACAUUUAGUAACUGUCUCAACAUUGUCCUCCAUCUACAAUGAAUCUUAAUGAUUAUACAAGGUAAUCUUAGGUAAGAUAUUGGUGUGAAUGAAACAUGAAAGGUCAGUUUUUGUGUAAGGAGACUAAUUAUGCAAUUUAAGUUCCUGCAAUCAGGAAGCAAUUCUCCAAGUUCUCAUAAGAGUAAGGAAAUAGAUGCAGACAAAGAGGGAAGAGGGCAAGGUUUGAUACAAGGAAGUACAUCCAUAUCUUAUGAAUUGCAACCUAAAAAGUCAAAUUGGCUGUAAAUAUCUUUUUGUAUCAAUUUGAUAGGGGCGUACUUUGCGUCCUUUUUUCAGUUUCAUUUCUAAUGAUGAUAGUCCCUUGCUUGUGUUAAGGAGUAUGCUUCUUCUGUUGUUACUUGGGAAGUUAUAUUUUUUGUAGAAGGUUAUAUCGUCUUGUUGCUUCUAUAUAUCCAGUAUAUCUAGCACCAAUUCCUUGGCAUGGCCUAUGUGGAUGUCGUGCAACAUUAUGUCGAUUUAUUCCAUAUAUCUUGACUUGCCAAAUGACACACUAUUAUAGAUAACUUCAAACUGUAGUAAACUCAUCUGUCUCUCUGUCCUUCCCAUCCAAGAGAGGGAGAAAAAAGAUGAGUGCACUAGCCAAAAGUUGGUCUGUAGUCAUCAAGUUACAAAAACAAUACUAUAGAAAAUUUUUAACUAGACAUAUCACAACAACCAUGCUUCCUCUCACAUUCGCUCAGUUACUCGUAUGGGUUUUGUCUCAUGUGCCUGUAUAUGCUACUUGCCAGUUAAUGUUUGCCAUGUUUUUAUUUAAAAUCGAUAUAUCCUUGAAUCUAGGCACUAAUAUAGUUUCUUUACCCACCUUGCAUUCAUAAGAAGUCAUAAAUAAUAUGUUAUUGCAUUUUUGGCUGCCUAAAUGGGAGGUUACGAGAAGACUAGGGCAUGUUUUUUGUCUUGAUAAGGCUAGUAUACUCAUGUAACACCUUUUAGACUAUUCUCUAUCGAAUGAUUGUGAUUAGUGUGAGUUUCAGUGAGAAUGAUCAAUGGGGUAGCCAUUUUUGUUGUGUUGAGGAAUUCCCAUUUUCAACAACAUACAGCGACAUGCUAGCACACUUAAAAAUAGCAUCUAGCACGUGCAAUCCACAUGAAGUGUAUAGAUAAAAAAAUCUUUAAAAUAUAGACAUUUAUGAUAUGUUUAUCAAAUUUUAAAAUUUAUAAUUAUAAUUAUAAUCAUUAUUUUGAAAGUUCAAUUUUAUAAACAAAAUUUUAGAUGUAUUGAAAUUUUUGAAGUAGUUAGAAUUCCAUAAUCAUCAAGCUAAUGAGUGCUAGUUACAUUGGUCAUGAGGACCGAAGGCCUUGAUAUCGACAAUUCUGGAGAGCGAUCAGAAGGCAGAGACUAAGAGGGAGUCAACUCAGUUGAUGAGGUCAAGUCUCCUAAAGGUUUGGUUUUUGGUACGUCCACCGUAUCAGCAGAAGCAUCCAAUGACUCCCUUUUGGAGUCUUCUGUGAUGUCCAAUACUAUGGCAAGCUUUGAAACACUACCCACCCGACCAUGAAGGGGUGCCUUAUUCUACCACUUUGUUGAAGAGGAAUGGACCUAGGCUUGUGAACUAUAGCCUUUAUCCUCUUUGAAGCAUGAACUUAGGUCUUUAAUGCCGGCCGAGCAGGAGGAAUUGAAGGGGCUACAGAGACAAGGAUUGGUCAAAAACUGUUUUGCAGAUACACUUACUCAGUUCAGUCAAAGAGAUAUACCUUUGCCCUUGACUGAGGUUGGAGACUUAUCGACAGUCGGGUGUGAACUAGAGGGCGUGGUAGAUAGAGUCAAGAUGAGUGUCGAUGUUGAUAUGGCCCAGGAUGGCGGAAGCAUGUUCAUGCUAAAUAUUAGUUAUGUGAGCCUUCCACCAACUUAGAAAUUCUCCCGUCAUGCUAGGCUGAAGGUCGAAGGGGACAAAGUGAUAAUCCAGGUAUAGCUGCUUGUAGAAAAAGUCCAUCAACACGAUCUGAUGUGGCUCAGAAAUAAGGAGCCGAUCAACAAAUGACACAUUCAAAGUGUAGAGGGGCGAACAAGGGAUAUUCUGGGUGAGACCGAAUUGAUAAGCAAAGAUGGUGGGGAAGUAGGGUUCAAUGGAGCACUUAUUAUUCAUCGAUCUAUCAAUUAUUGAGCUAACAUGGAGAUCUCUAGGAACUAAGAAGUUUCUCCAUAGAAGUCCUACAACUUUGGUCUCGGUUGAGAACAUAUCGUCCACUGGAAAUAUCAAUUAGGCUGGUUUUGGGGAAUGGGUCAGAUGCACUGAUGAUUCUUUUUUCCUCCCUUGUGUUUAGAAUGUGGGUCCCAUGUCGGUUUCAUGUUAUGGAGUCCAGUUUCAGCAUGGUAUAUUCUAAGAAGGAGAGAGAGAGAGAUGGGGAAUCAGGCUCUCUCUUUAGUUGGUGCAAGUUUCCUAUGAUGUGGGCCCCACUUUACUAAAAUAGAGAAAGAAAGAUACCUUAUUGCGCAUAUUUUUCUUAGGAAGGGGAGUGCUCUCUCUCUCUCUCUCUCAAAGCAUUCGUGUGAGCCAUAGGCUUUCAACUAGAGUUUGGCUACGCAUGUCGACUUUAGGAGUUUUCAUUAUAUAUAGUAGAUAGUAGAUAUACAGCUGAAAUACCUGAACUUUGUAGCAAGAAUUUUCAAUUUAGGGUUGUGCACUCGCUUCUGAAUCUCCUCAGAAACAUGUCCUUGCACCUGCUUUCCAAGUUUUUUAUUAAUUUUUAUUAAAAGACCUGCUUCCCUGUACCACACCUAACCAGCUUCCAUUAUAUAAGAUACCAGAUGCUUGUGGAUUGUGAUCAUGUCUGCAGAACCUUAAUUCUAGGAGCAUGAUUUCAUGGUCCAGGAUAACUUUGUCAUUCAAUGGUUUACCUGGUUAUGAGAAGCCACACUUUGUCCUGUUCCCUAUUUGAAUUGAUAAAAAUAGUUGCCUCCUUGCAGAAUUCACUAAAUGCAGAAACAGAGGCCCCGAUACCCCUCUCCCAAUCAUAUUCUCUUCAAGAUGAAGUGAACCCUGACAUUUCCAGAAAAGAAGAGGGUGCAGAUGCCUUAGCAAUGUUUUCUAAGAAUAAAGAGGUUAUUUCAUGGCAAGAACUUGACCAUUCUGGAUGUGUUUUCUACUGUUUUGAUGUUUAGUGCACAUCCUUUUUGCCUUUCGAGAAGCUCUUGCUUACUUUCUUUUGUGAUAAUGAAGGCUUCAGUUGUUGCACAUGAAAAACCAGAGGACAAGAAAACUUCUGAAGAUGGGAAAAUAAUACUUGAUUUAAUAGAUGCUAUUCAUACUGCUGAAAGAAAGCAAGCUGAAUCAGAUGCUUAUAUCUUUGCUGAAGAGAAAAAGAAGCUCAAGGUUUGCAUUCUUGCAUGAUCCUUUAAAGUUAUUUGCAAAUCUAAAUUCUUGGUGCUUUUGUGUGUUUUUGUGCAUCCAUCCAUUUCAGUGUUAUGUGGACUUUCUCUAGUAAUAAUUGUAUGGCACAUGCCCAAGAAAGUAUAAAAUAGAACUCAUCUGAUGAGAAAGAGUUAUCCAAAUAAUGAUGCAUAAUAUAGUACCAAAAAAUGAUAAAAAGACUAUAUCAAACUUUCUUAGAAUUGUUCUCGGAUUUUUUUUUGAAAAAAAUAUGGAUACAUUUUCCUACAAUAAAUAUUAAAUAUGUAUUGUUUCGGCAUGACCCAAUUUAUUAUUGAAUUCCUUUAGUGCAUUCCUUGCUUCGUUGUUUAGUUAAUUUAAAAAUCAUAAAGUACUACAUUUCUUUCCAAGCUACUGACUAUAAUCUAUUCAGAAUGAUUUUUGUUCAAACUCCACUGUUUUUUUGUUCAUUUAGUGUUACCAAGAUCUAGAAUGCCUAUAAAACCCAUAGUUUCUUACCUAAAAUUUUGUUUUGACCAGUGCACUUUUUCUAGGUCAAUUUCUUGUUGCCUCUACAUUACACAAUUAAACUAUAAAAAUCCUCUAUUCAUUUUUUGUUUUGAUAUUCUGCUAGUUAAGAAAUCACAUUACCUUUCUUUCUCUAUAAUCUGGUGAUCUGAAAUCAGUCAAUAAUUUUGUUCAAACUUGUUUGUUUCUGAAUGACAGUUAGUUUGAUCUUUUAUUGGUAGAUUUUUUUCUUUCUUAAAGACAUGUAUAUGUAUUAGUUAUCUUGUUUCUUUAUGAAAUUCUCCAUUGAUCAAGGGUCCAUAUUGUGCCUUUAAAACCCAACUUGCAAGAACCACACCAAAAGAUCACAUUCAAAUUGAUGUCAAUGGUGACAUUCCAUUCAGUUAUUUUUGUAUGUGCCUUUAUAUGCAUCCAUCAAAUCAUAUUUUUGAAAGAAAUGAUUCACAACACCAAACUAAUAUGCAGGCUUAGAUAAUAGGGUGGCCUGGUGCACCAGGCCCUUACCAUUGUCGGGUCCAAGGAGGGUCAAAUAUAUGCAGCCUUACCUCUGCAUGCAGCGAAACUAUUUUUGUGUUUCGAACACGACCUCCAGAUCACAAUGGAGAAACUUACUGUUGCACCAAGGCUCACCCUCUAAUGGGUAGGCUUAUAUAAGGAAACAAAAGCCUUUUCCCCCCUUGAAAAGCAACAAGGAGCAUGAUUUGCUUUUAAACUUUGGUUCAGAAGGGGGAAACGAGACAAACAUUUUUGGGAGUAUGGGAGACUUAUUGAGAGAUUUAUAUUCUGCAUACUUAAUAACUAGUCAUUUUUUUUUUAUCAUUCUGUUUCACUUCAGGAGAAAUAUGAAAAAGAUCUGAAGGAUGCAAGGGCGAGAGAACUUAUGUAUGCCGAAGAGGCAGCAAUCUUGGUAAAGGUAUUAGAACAUUUAUUAUCUUGAUUUUGUAAAAUGUUAGUUUCUCUGAUAUAUGUUUCACAUUUGACCAUUGCGACUUUCAUUGUUUAGUUUUAUUCUUCUUGGAAAAGAUGUAGUGGUACAGCAGUUUUCUUCUUCCUGAUGCUUUACAUUUGCAUAUGAAAUUGUUUAGUCCUUUAGUGUUACCUUUGGAUAUAAAUUUACAGGUUUACUUAUAUCAGUGGUACUUGUCGUUGGAUAGCAAUACGCUCUUAACACAAUGUUUAUUAUGAAAGUGUGUUUCGUUAGUUUCAGAUGGCAGAUACGGAAAUCACUAAAUAAAAAAUGCGCAUCACAGUAAGCAAGCAAUUGUUGUUCAGUGAUUAUAUGGUUCUCAAAAAAACUUUGCACUUUUGACAGAAGUCUGUAUUCCUGUUAUUGGUGAUGGUUUUACUCGCAAUACUAUAGCUUUCAAGAUAAUUAACUUGUCACAUCAUGGCUCUCUCUUUUUUAUCACAAGUAGAACUAUACAAUUUUAUCCAUUCAAGGAUGUUUUUCUCUUAGUUUACUCUUCAAGAGGGAAAACUUCAACUAAAAGCUCAUAGACAUCAUAAUGGUAUAGUAUUUAUCCACUGAUUUGUGAUAAUGUUCAUUUGGACAUUUACAUUCAAGGCCUAUCAUUGGAUAAUUUCUUGUUUCUUCUAAAUUUUGUUGAUUCAUAUAUUACUCUGUAAGUUUUUAAGUCUAGACUCUAGAGCAUUAUUUGAAUCAGUAUUCUACUUAGCGAUGCUAAAGGGCAUGGUCUCUGAUGAAUAAUUUUUGUAUAUCUAAAGGUACAUAGGUUGCUAAUGACUUUUGUAUCUUUCAGUGAUUUUUCUACCAAAUUAUCCUUUUCACGUGAUGCAAGUAGAACAGUGAGGCUCAAUCAUCAUACUGCCAUGAUUUUAUAAUGUUUGCUUACAAGGGGUGCCAAUGUCAUUAAGGAGUGGAGGUGCAACUGAGAAAGGUAGAAAUUUGUGAGACAAGGGGAUUCUUCAUAGCCUAGCUCAUUGGGGAAAGUUCUUAGCCUUUGUAGUAUGUACAUUGGAAAGGCCAUUCCAAAAUGGGCAUCUCCUUUGUAAACAGUGUUGAAACUACUUAUAUAUAUUACGUUAUAAUUGGAGAUGGAUGAGGGGCAAGGCAGAAUGCAGAGACUUUAGUUAGUACAUAAGUUUCUUUAUGCUUCUUAGUAGUCCUUAAAAUUACUGGCAUAAGUUUCUCUCUCUCUGUGUGUGUGUGUGUGUGUGUGUGUGUGUUUAUGUGUGUGCGUGUGUGUGUGGGUGGGUGGGUGGGUGGGUUGGGGGGGGGGAGGGGGUGGUGGUGGUGGUGUCAUACUCCCUCCUAAAGCAUGUAUUAGAUUUGGGCAACUCAAGAUAUCCUGAUAGAUGUCUUUGUGGCUUUUUGUCUAUUAAAAGCUCAUCCAUCGGCAUAUUCUGAACUAAACAUUGAAGGAUUAAAAUGUGAAAGCAGAAAUGUUUUCUUUUAGGUAUGAAUGCAUUCAUGGAAUCCUACAAACUAUUGUUGUAGAGGAGAAAGUGAUGACGGACCGGUUAAAAUAGUAUACAUAUGCAAUGAAGACCACAUGUUGCCUCAAGGAGUGCGGCUUGAUUUUUCCAGGAAGGGUUAUAAAAGAUAAUAAGAUACCAGAAUACUAACAUGUCCAUGUGUUUGUGUGUUUGAGGGAGGUAUCCUGCAUCAUAAAUUUCUUCCAUCAUGCAACAAAAAUGGUUACAAUAACUAAUAAAGAAACAAAACUUGUCAAAAUUCCAUUUUUCAUAAUGUUUUCCUUCCAAAAUUUCAAAUUUGUUUAACUAAGAUACCUCUACCCAAAUAGAGUAUUUAGUACGAAUUUAUGGCACUGUGACUUGUUUCGAACUUAACCCAAUAUUGGAGUAGUUGAUAUAUGAGUAAAUAGCUCUCUACAGUGUAGGUCAUAAUUCUUUUGCCAAAGCCUGCCGGUAAAGUUAAAUGCUGUUUUAAGAAUUAUUUUGGGAGUAUAUAUAUAUCAAAUCAUCAUAAUGCUCAAUUAACAUCAUUGGUAGAAUAUUUUACCUUGCUUUGUUAAACUAUGUUUCAGGAGUUAAACCGAGAGAAGGCAAAGGCAACAGCUACAAUAAAGUCACUUCAAGAAAAAGCUGAACAGAAUCUUCGAGAGGAAUUGAGACACAAGGUAAUACCCAGCUAGUGGGACCAGUUUAUGCAUUGCAUUGCUAGAUUCUUCUUACAAACUACUUGAUUCCAUUUCUUUUCAGAUGCAGAAGUAAAACAAAACUCUUUGCUCUUUGCUUUUUGCAGGAUGAGGAAACUGAUAUAAAGCUUAAGAAAGUUCAGGAGUUGGCAAAAGCCGAAUUAGCUGCUGCUAUUUCAAAGGAGAAAGCAUCCCAGAUGGAAAAAAUUGCUGAAGCUGACCUCAAUGUAUGUCUCGUGCUGUUGCAAUUGGCAUAUGUGAAUACUCUUUUAUAUAUCACCAUUUUUUUCCUUAUGUUUAAAAGCAUUUAUGAGCUGUAGGCUAGAAUGCCCUAUUUUCCUUCCAUCGCCAGUAUCCUUGAUAUGUUCUUCGAAAGUUCUUAGGGUGAUUUAUGUAUUUUGGGCUCUUGUAGAUUAAUGCCUUGUGCAUGGCAUUCUAUGCAAGAUCUGAAGAAGCCCGCCAGACUCACUCUGUUCACAAGCUUGCGUUGGUGCGUUUGCUGUUAAUAUUUACUAGCAUUAUGUUUGUAUCACUUUACCUGAAAAUUUCUUAAAAUGUUGAAGCUUUGAUUUAUUAUAUUUGUAAUAUUACAACUUCUAGGUUGUCUGUGAAAAAUGUAUUUUAACUCCACUAAUGUUAGAAUCUUACAGGGUACACUUGCUUUGGAAGAUGCUCUGUCUAAAGGACUGCCAAUUCGAGCGGAGGUAGCUGCACUACGCAAGUCCCUAGAAGGCAUUGACAAAGAAUCUCUUUUAGAUUUAGCACUUACAUCUCUUCCAGAAGAAAUAUUAAACUAUGGGUCAAGUACCCAGAUGCAAUUGAAUCAAAAGGCAAGUCAGAUUAUUCUCUUAGACUUUGGAGACUUAGCUUGUUUUCGUUGCUCUUGCUACUUCUGAUUUGCUGCUUUUAUAGAUUUCUGUUAAGCGUGUCUUGCCCACUAUUGGCAAAACUGAUUGCAUGUAUAUGUUGUAUUUGAAUCGGUGAUAGAAGUUUCUAUGCCACACACACACACACACACACACACACACAUAUAUAUAUAUAUAUAAUAUAUAAAUACUUGAAGACUAGUAAUCUCUCUAUUCUUCUUUUCCUCAGCACAAUUGUUUAUGACUGUCAAUUGAUAGUAAAAUCUACAUUACCAGUAUGUCAAUUGGGAGGUGUUUGCUGAUCUUAUUUUGUCUUUUAUUACAAUAAUGGUGUAUAUUCAUUUGCAUGUUGAUUAUGUCAUGAGGGGAUCAGAAAAUCCCAUGAGAAGAUGAUAUGGCUUCGAACUUGUUAAUAUAGCAUCAUUCUUGUGUUGUAGAAGUUCCGAUUCAUGAGCCAAGAAGGGCCUUUCUUUUAGUGCUAUUAUAUUUUCAGAUAUUUGGCUUUCUGUAGUGCUACAGGCAAUGGCCUGUGCAUGGGGAUGGACCUCCCUGAUAACACUACCUUGAUGAAAAUAGAUGGAGUCUGUGCCUCUGGUACAACCAUCAAGUGGCUUUACUGCACACUAAGCUGAAAGCUUUGAGGACCCAUGCAAACCUGUAUAUGGUCCCACAUAGGAUGUGUGUUGGGAGGAUCUUUGGUACUUAAGUAGGCCAUGGAUCCAAAGUAAUAACAUUUUGGCUGGGGCAUUACAAGUGGUAUCAAAGUAGAUCCAGCCCAAGAUCCAUGUGUGGCUAGGGGCAACGUAGCGUGGGUCCGUUCAUGGCUAACACAUGCCACUCAUAAUGUUUUUCUGAUUUGACCCUUUUCGAGUGAGAAUGCGAGGGUUUAAACGGGUGGGUAUAUGAGAAUCCAUGUAGGCAUGUAUUUUUUAUUUUUUUUGCUUAAACGUAGUCAUGUAUUUAGUCCUACAUUGGUUGUACGUUGGGAAGAUGUUGGGCACUUAAGCAGGGCUAGGGAUCUUAAAUAGUUACUUCUAUCUAGCCUUCUCUCCAGUCGGAUCACAUUACAACACCUUUUGGAGGUUUAUCAGUUCAACCUUUCACGGUGCUUUGUAUCUAUUGGAAGGAAAUUCUGAAGCAAGUGUUCAUGCACGUAAUACCAGGUUACUAAAUUUUUUAAUUAUUCUUUCUGGGUGGGAGGGUGGACGAGGGGAAGGAUUAA